CAUGAGUGGCGGACGGGUGAGUAACGCGUGGGCAACCUGGCCUGUACAGGGGGAUAACACUUAGAAAUAGGUGCUAAUACCGCAUAACGGGGGAAGCCGCAUGGCUUUUCCCUGAAAACUCCGGUGGUACAGGAUGGGCCCGCGUCUGAUUAGCCAGUUGGCAGGGUAACGGCCUACCAAAGCGACGAUCAGUAGCCGGCCUGAGAGGGCGGACGGCCACACUGGGACUGAGACACGGCCCAGACUCCUACGGGAGGCAGCAG
rnacentral:rRNA from 1 species